GAUUGAAAAGGAGAAAAACCUCUCCUCCUCCUUCUUUCUUCAUGAUCUUCUCACUCAAGACCCUUGCAUGCAUCUCAUUCGAGCUUAUAAAAAGAGAGGGACAAGUAAAUAAACAUGAGAGUUAGACUUGUAGGUCUAAGCUAAAGAAGGAAAACAGUCAAACACCACCAUAGAGAGAGAGGGAGAGAGACUAGAAGAAGCCGCGAGGGAGGAAGAAAUUUGGAGCUGAAAAAUCAAAGAAGAAAAGGGUCCUCGACAUACUCCGUCCAUUUGGAGACAUUCUUGUGCUUCGGGUAUGAGUGGAUUUUGUCCAGAUGAGAAAACCAUGAGGGCUGUUCUUACCUGGGCGUGCCGUUGCUGGAGGCGUCGAGGGAGACAGCUGGGCUGGCCUGUUGAAACCAUUUUCCUUCUGUUCAACCACGAGGGCUGUUCUUAACAGUUUUCCUUUUGUUCUUCCCCUAGUCUUCGUAAUUGUUGUUGCACUUGAAGAUGAUGAUGAUGAUGACGGUGAUGGAGGGCUGACCUCCUGAAACCAUUUUCUUCUCUUCUGUUUUCCCUUUAUUCUUCCCCUAGUCUUUUAGGUGCCCUCCUUGUCUGCGUGGAGAGUGAAUUAAUUCACUCUUUAUAAAAAUUCACUCUCCAUUGUUGUGAACAGUGGAGAGUGAACUGCAAAAAAAAAAAACAGUAAAAAUAUUUAAUUUUUAAUUGUAUUUUAUUCAAAAAAAUUAGUGUUUAAUAUUAUUUAAUAACACUACAUAAAUUAGAAGGAGAUCACAUGAUGGCGUGAUAUUUGCAGAA